UGGGACGCGAAUUGUGUUUGAAGAAGUCUAGUCGCAUUUUCUGUUUUCUCACUCAAAGAUUGGUGUUUUUCUGUCCAAAAUGAAAGCGUGCCUCGACCCUCAGUGUCUCCUUUUAACCCUUGCGUGUUAUGCACUUGCCGCUGAGGCCAACAAAGCCAAGAGAAAUGUCCUCUUCAUCAUGGCCGACGACCUCCGUCCGUCUCUGGGCUGUUAUGGAGACACAAUUGUGAAAUCCCCUAACAUCGACCAGCUGGCAUCCAAGAGUAAAGUCUUCCUCAACGCAUACGCACAGCAAGCUGUGUGUGCUCCCAGUCGCACUUCCAUGUUAACCAGUCGCCGCCCAGAUACAACCAGGCUCUAUGACUUUAAGUCUUACUGGAGAAUCCAUUCUGGAAACUACACCACAUUGCCACAGUACUUUAAGUCCAGAGGGUACAUCACCAUGUCUGUGGGCAAAGUAUUUCACCCAGGCAUUGCUUCCAACCACACGGAUGACUACCCAUUAAGCUGGUCCAUUCCUGCCUACCAUCCGGCCUCUUUCAGGUUUGAGAAAGAAAAGAUGUGUAAAGGACCAGACGGCCAGCUCCAUGCCAACCUGUUGUGCGCAGUGAAUGUGGCGGAGCAGCCUGGAGGAACACUUCCUGACAUGGAGAGUGCCGAUGAGGCUGUGAGGUUGUUGAAGAAGCAGGCCAAAAGCAGCCAGCCUUUUUUCCUGGCAGUGGGUUUCCACAAACCACACAUACCCUUCAGAAUACCUGAGGAGUACUUGCGCCUGUAUCCGAUUGAAAAAAUGACCCUGCCCGUCGACCACGAUGUUCCUGGAAGGCUGCCCCCUGUGGCCUACAACCCAUGGACAGAUGUCAGAAAAAGGGAUGAUGUCCAAAAACUCAACAUCAGUUUCCCAUAUGGACCAAUUCCCAAAGACUUUCAACUGCGCAUCCGUCAGCACUACUUUGCUGCUGUCUCCUACAUGGAUGCCCAGGUGGGUCGACUGCUCAGCGCACUGGAUGAUUUAAGCCUUACAGAGAGCACUCUAGUUGUGUUCACAUCAGACCAUGGUUGGUCUCUGGGGGAACACGGAGAGUGGGCUAAGUACUCUAAUUUCGAUGUGUCCACACGAGUGCCCCUCAUCUUCUAUGUUCCUGGUGUCACUGCACCACGGAGCGAUGGAGGAUUUGGAGGUCCCACCUUUCGCUUUGUUGAUGUCUUCAGUCAAUCCAGACGUUACGUCCAGGCUAAUCCAGUGGUCCGGAACAUGGUGGAGCUGGUGGACGUUUUCCCAACUGUUGCACACCUGGCAGGGCUUGGAUGUCCCCAGGCCUGUCCAGCGGUGUCUUUCCAGGUGGAGCUGUGCACCGAAGGUGAAAGUCGUGCUCAUGUGUUCCGGCACAAAGAGCGUGGAGAAAAUGAAGAGGCCAUCUCCUUCAGCCAGUACCCUCGGCCGGCUGACACUCCACAGUGACGCAGUUUACAUUGUGGAUUUACAACAGCCAAGAGCGACAUAUGAUCCAAGGCAAGCGAUUGCAGAGACAAUCCGUACAGGCCAAUAUCAGGCCAAACCUGAAGGCACGAGGUGCAUUGGUGGACAAAUACAUGACUUGACCAUUUCAACUUGAAAUGGCACCAUGAAUUAUCCAGCUUGCUCAUCUGAAGCUUCCUCUAAAGGUGCUGAAGCAGAUUUGUGUUUAGUUCACGUGUUGCAAUGUUUGCAAUGUGGUGAAGUUCUGAGAUCCCAACCUCUGGAAAAGUCCUGCUCAUGAUCGUUCAUCGUUGGUAUCUCCACUCACCAUGGUUAUGUACUUUGGGUUGUGACCAAAGAUGAGUGUCAGUCCUAGUUUUCUUCCCACACCCUGCUUCAGAGAUGAGGUGAAGAGGUUGGGCUUGUUGGAACGGAAACAAGCCCAUUCAUUGUUGGGCCUGGAGAGGGAGACUCGGGCGCCUGCACUUGCCAGAACAACUCAGUAAAGUCUUCUCCCAUCCCCCGUUUCACGUCAAACAUGGGUAGAUGAACUCUGACCUUCCCGACCUCAAAGACAUCCGCAUCAUGGGCUACUCCCUCCGCUCCUGGGACUACAGGUACACCUUAUGGCUGGGCUUUGAUCCCCAAACAUUUCAGGUGAAUUUGACUGAUGUCCACGCUGGAGAGUUGUACAUGUUGGCCGA